GAGAGCCAAAUGAAUCGAAAGAUUCAUGUUUGGUCGGGAAGGGAUUAUGGAAGUUUUCUGCCAAUUGGGUUUUUUCUAAACCGAGCCUGGAUACUUCAUUUUAU
rnacentral:ncRNA from 1 species